AGGACGAACGCUGGCGGCGUGCCUAAUGCAUGCAAGUCGCACGCACCGAGCUUGCUCGGUGAGUGGCGCACGGCUGAGGAUCACGUGGGAACAUGCCUCCUUGUGGGGGACAACCCCGCGAAAGCGGGGCUAAUCCCGCAUACGCUCGUCGUAAGGCGAGGAAAGCGUGUAAACGCGCAGGGAGAGUGGCCCGCGGCCCAGUCAGGUCGUUGGUGGGGUAAUGGCCUACCAAGCCGGUGACGGGUAGCUGGUCUGUGAGGACAGACAGCCAGACUGGGACUGAGACACGGCCCAGACUCCUACGGGAGGCAGCAGCAAGGAAUUUCGCAAUGGGCGCAAGCCUGAACGAGCAACGCCGCGUGGAGAUGACGGCUCGGUUGUAACUCCUUUUCGGGACGAGUAAUGACGGUACCCGGAAGUAAGCGUCGGCUAACUC
rnacentral:rRNA from 1 species